GGUUUUGCAUGUCAUCAUUAUGUUCGUUUCUGUUCGAUUUAGCACUUAUUUGUUGGGUUUUUGUGAAAGAUUGUUGGGUAUUUGUCUGAUUUGGUGUUUUUGUGACAGAUUCCUGCGUGUGUGACUGAUUUGGGCGAGGAGAAGGAAGGCGAUUCUGGAGGAAAUGGGAGAAGAAUUCACAACGAAAGCGAGCGAUCAAAUUUCCCAAAGACUAAGGGGCCGGGUACAAAAGAAUCAGAGGAAUUCAAAACGGCUUUCGGACCGCCCUUAACUAAAGACUCUGAGUGUGAAGCUGAAAACUUGAAGGAAGGCCACCAAGUUGCAGGCUCUCACACAAAGUAUGUUGUUCACAGUGACUAAUGAGCUAAUGGUCAGUUACGAAGUUCGUUCGAGGACGAUGAUGUACUGGAGGAUGCUAUUGAUGGAAAGAAGAGCACAUUGAAAUUGCCAAAGCCAAGAAGAAAGAAGUAGACUUGGCUUGAGGAAAAAAUAUUACUUACCACCAAUUCAUCAUUAUCAAGACUUGGCUGAGGAGUUCACAAGAAAGAAGGACUCGGUGUUUCACAAGAAAUUUUCCAACUCCAAUGAUGAUGAUCAUAGUGAUUUGGAUAAGAAGAGGAAGAUGGUUUCCCUCAACUGCAAGAAAGAAAACUACAUUUGAGUUUUUUCCUACUACUGAAGCACGAGGCUCCCCAAGAGGAAUUUACAAAUCUUACCAUGUCACUGCUCAUCUUCUUCCUCAUCAGAUGAUAAUACAAAACCAACCCACCAAUCAUUACACUCUGAGGGAAGGAGGGCUUUCUCUUAACAUCAGUUAGCUACCAUUUGAUUGGAUCCAGUGGAUUACUAUUUGAUAGAGAGCGCAAGGAUUCCUCCACUGUAGACCGGUGAUUGAGCGAAGGAGAAAAUAACGGCUUUGGGUCUGUUUGUGAUUGGAAUUAUCUACCUGUUAAUUCAGAGGUUGAAUCGAUCAAUGCCUCGACGUGACAUGAGCAUCAAAGCAUUCAUCAUUAGCAAGCAAGCAAUCCCGUGCCAUCGUCGGUUUACACUUUGGACUUACAAUUGUAGAAAUUUAAAUCCUGAAUUUGAAAAAAAAA